GCCAGUUACUUUGACCCCAAUUAAUAACGUAAGUGAAUUUUCCAUUUUUCUCAACUAGCUUAAAUUGACGUAAGUGAAUUUCCAUUCUUUUCAUAAGAGUGCCGUUAGUGAUUUUCCUUUUUUUUCACAGCUUCCAUUAUUUCUUCAUUUUUUUUACUACUGCGUAUCAGGUGCCUCUAUUUAUAUACGAGAGUUUCUCCCCAAAGAUUAAAAUUGUCUGCAACUACAAUCUCUUACACUUGUUCGUCGUCUUCAUUCUCUCUAAUUCUCUCAGCACACAUAUUUGAUUGACUAAAAGAUCACCGAUCUCAGCCUGAGAGAGCCAUCUAUCUACGAUCAGGUAUGAUUCAUCUGGGUCUCUGCUUCAAGCGAGAAAGGACGACGAUUCUCCCGGAUCCUUUGAAACCAAAGAGCUAUGGGUUCUUCUGACUGUUUGAUAACACGUGAAUGCUUCAAUCUCGAUCAUAAAUUGGUAUCACUCUCUGUCCUUAAGCAAUUUCAUCACAUACUGUCUUGUUUAGCUUAGGGUUUUGUUUACCUGUUUGUCCUUAAGCCAAUCUUAUUGUUCACUAUUUUGGAAUUUUGGAAUUUAGGGAUUUUUUAGCCUCUUGGUUAAUUUGUUACCUCAAUUUUUUUGAAUUUUUUAUUCUCUCUCUUUUUUUUUUUCUAGCAAAGGUUUUUUAUUUAUUUUUAUUAAAGUUUUUAUUAUAUAAAAUAUUUUGGUUUUCAAAAAAUUUAAGUGUUGAAUUUUAAUGCAUUGAAAACAAACCGGACUAAGCAUCCCGUCCCAUCCUACGGGUCCGUAAGAGGUGUUAUUAGUUCAACCGCUUUUCACGCAAGUAAAUUUAAACCUUAGAUUAAUUUUUAUGAUUUUUUACAAAUAUUUUUUAUUAUGUAAACUAU